GAAGGGUCCCUGCUGAAGGAGCCGCCACUGUGUGUGUGCACUGCUUUUGCUACCUGUCCUCUCUGUCCGCAGGGGUUCAGGCCCAAUUACAGCUGGUGGAGGCUGGUGAAAGGGUGAAAGCGCCUGGGGAAUCCAUUCGCCUCUCCUGCCACGGAUAUGGAUUCAGCUUCAGUGUUUAUGAUUUACAUUGGUACCGUGAUGUCCCUGGUGAUGGACUCAAGUGGGUGGCCACCAUUAGCGGUGAUUCUGCCUACAUUUAUUAUGGUUCGGCAGUGGAGAAUCGAACCACUGUCACCCGCAACAAUUCACAGGCUGUGAUGUUUCUGUCCCUGCAUGACCUGCGCCCCCAGGACUCUGCCCGCUAUUUCUGUGCCAUUGUCACAGUGGCAGGAAACGUGUUUGCACCGUGA